GCGUUCUGUGAGCUUCUCGCACCCUCAGCCCGAGUGUGACGAGCCUGGGCUGGCAGGGGUCUAUUGCGCAAGCCCAGAGAGCUGGGCUGAAGUUAGGGGAGAAGCCUUGGCUGCGCUCCCGAGACGAUGAAGCGCGGCGUUCCGCGGGCUCCUUCCCGGAAGCGGAAGUUCGGGGGGCGGGCCGAGGGCCGCUGGGAGUCCGCGGCGGUUAAUUCUUUUCACCGUGCCUAUUUGCUUCGCUCCCUCUGGACUUUUCUGAAGCUGCGAGAGAUGGUUAGGUCGGGAUCUCGGCCGGGCCAGAGCGCUGCCUUUGGUGUGGGGCCCGGGGUUCGAGUCCAACCUCCGCCGCUGGGUCGGGUAUUAUCUUCAGGAAAGCACACUGGACCUGCUAAGUUAACAAACAGAAAGAAAGGGACUCAUUUAAGAAAGAUAUCCCGUCUUAAUGCAGAUUCUGGCUAUCCCACUCAUUCUGAUUCAGAAAGUCAGAGUGAAACAGUACAGGGGCUUGAUGGUUGUGCUUCUUUGCUACGGGACAUUUUGAGAAAUGAAGAUUCAGGUUCAGAAAUAGCAUAUUCAGAAAAUAGAUAUAACCCCAGACCUUUAGAAAGCAAAAGAUGUGGAUCUAAAAAGAAAGGACAUGAAAAACAACACACUGUUCCUUCAGUAGUCCGGAAAGAAAUUUUAUCUUCAGAUAUUAAGAAACAGAUACCUAAUGAAGCUUCUGCUGGCAGUGAAAGAGAUGCAUCAGAUACACCACAAAAUUGGUCACUGCAAGAUCAUUAUAGAAUGUAUUCACCCAUGAUAUACCAAGCUCUCUGUGAGCAUGUGCAGACUCAAAUGUCACUGAUGAAUAACUUGCCCUCAAAGAACAAUGCUAAUGGAACUCCUACUGUACCUUGCCACACUGUGUCUGGUUCUGAAUCUCACACAACACAUUCUAGUUGUGGCUUAUCUACCCCCACCCCAGUCCAGUUUUCUCAGCAGCCACCCUGCCCUCCAAUGGUUCAUUCUGAAGUUCAGACUGAUAGUGAUAACCAGUUUGCCUCACAAGGUAAAACAGUUUUGAUGAACUGUACCGAUGAUGUUCUAAGGAAUUCUUUCAGUACUAGCCUUGGAGUUCCAUGUAGCUCGCCCCAAAUUGACAAACCAGCUCCUCCAGCAUUCCAGCAGCUGGGUCUUGCUAAUGGGAUUCUGCCACAACAAAGAGUUCCAAAGGAAACGGACCUACUAAAGUGUUUCCAGACAUAUAUGAAACUGUUGCAUUCUCAUCCGGACAGUCAGACACAGCAAAACCCCCUGUUACAGCCAGCUUCCUUGGCUACUAAUGAAGACAAAUGCACUAAAGAACAAGGAGGAGAGGUCAGAAGCGAAGGAAAGGAUUUAAACCUACAUGUGCGAGAUUUAAGAAUAAAGGAUGUGCGGAAGGCAAAAAAUGUGAACCAGAGUGCUGAAAAAGUGAGAACUAUAAAAUACUUGUUGGGAGAGCUCAAGGCCCUGGUAGCAGAACAAGAAGACUCAGAAAUUCAGAGGUUGAUUACAGAAUUGGAGUUAUGUAUAUCUUUGCUUCCAACAGUAAGUGGCAAAACAAAUUUUCAGGUUGAAAUAGCACUGGCCAUGCAACCACUAAGAAAUGAAAAUGCUCAUUUACGCAGGCAAUUGAGAAUUUUGAACCAGCAACUUAGAGAACGAGAAAAAACUCAAAAGGCAUCUGGUUCUCUGGAAUGCAGUCUUGAAUUGUUUUCUCUUCAAUCGCUGAACAAGUCACUGCAAAAUCAAUUACAAGAGUCACUAAAAAGCCAGGAAUUACUACAGAGUAAAAAUGAAGAACUUUUAAAAGUGAUAGAAAAUCAGAAAGAUGAAAACAAAAAAUUUGCUGAUAUAUUUAAAGAGAAAGAUCAAGCUUUACUUGAAAAUAAACAGCAAUUUGACAUUGAGACAACAAGAAUGAAAAUCGAAUUAGAGGAAGCCUUGGUCAACGUGAAAAGCUCCCGGUUUAAGUUAGAAGCUGCUGAAAAGGAAAAUCAGAUAUUGGGAAUAACAUUACGUCAGCGUGACGCUGAGGUGACUCAACUGAGAGAAUUAACUAGAACUUUACAGAGCAGUAUGGCAAAGCUUCUCUCAGAUCUUAGUAUGGACAGUGCACGCUGCAAGGCUGGAAAUAAUCUUACCAAAUCACUUCUGAACAUUUAUGAAAAACAACUUCAACAUGACCCAAUCCCUGCUCACACUUCCAUAAUGAGCUACUUAAAUAAGUUAGAACCAAAUCACACUAUUAUUACAUGUCCAGAGCCACUUUCUACAAUUAACAAUGAGGAAAACAUAGUGCCAGAUAGACUGUAUGAAAAUGUUCUGCCCUCCAAAGGCCCUCAGCAUAGUAAUACUAGGAGCAUGGAGGAAAUAUCAGCCCUUGGAAUCAUUUCUGCCCUUUCAAAACAGGAUUCUGAUGAGGAGAGUGAAAUUACGACAUUAAUAGAAGAUGAGUGUAAAUUGGAUAAGACAAUUUACAUUCCAUUUGCUAGAAGCACUUAUAAAAAGAAAUCACCGCUAGCCAAGGGAUUAUCCCCCCAGCCACAGAUCAGUGUUGCUUCACCGAAGCUGGUCAGCAACUGUGGACAUGUUGCUGAAAAAGUAAAUAAAUUGUGUGCACCUGGAGUUUGUUCCUCUUCCAAAAAGGAGGAAGAUGUACCUGAGAAACUUUCUAAGACAACUGAUAUGGAGGACAAGCAGCUCCUUGAGAAAAUAAAGGAAGCCAUUUGCAAGAUCCCUGUUGCCACUGAGGAGCCAGAGGAACUGGCUGCACGUCACGGCCCCUCCACUUGUCAGAGCAGCAUCAUUCAAGUGAAAAGUAGUGCAGUGUCUGAUGCUAGCUUUUUAAAUUCUGACUUGACCUCUGACUGGAGCAUCUCUUCUUUUUCAACGUUCACUUCUCGUGAUGAACAAGACUUUCGAAAUGGGCUUGCAGCACUGGAUGCCAACAUUGCUAGACUCCAGAAGUCCUUAAGGACUGGUCUUCUGGAGAAGUAAACCCAGAAGAAAAAUUCUUCUUAAGAAUAGAACUUGGCUACAUUGAAUGUAUAUUUUAAUUUUCUUUAGAGAAAAGGUUUAUAUUAAUUAUGUGUGAAACAAAUUGUGUGAAUAAUAAAUUUAUUAUUGGAGUAUAUUGACAACACUGUGGAGCUUAUAAAAAACAAGUCAUUUUAAGAAAUUGAUAUCUGCUAAGAGAAGAAAGUCGUAUACAACUAGGAAAGUACUGAUUCCUGUUUGUGUUUUAAUGGCAUUGUGUUUUUAUAUGGGAUGCUCUGUGCUACAGGCUGAUGUUGGUGAGACAUAUAAACGUUUAUUUUAAGAGAAAAAGUGCCAAUAACUCCAACUUUUUGAAAAAUAUUGAUUGGUCUAAGAAAAUAUAUAUAACAUCCCAAGUUAGCAUAUGGUUUCUUAGAACUUUGACACUUUAUUUUUACCCUUAAUGUAUAAGACCAUUAACAAGUAGAGCGGACUGAUAAAGAAAUGCUAGCAGGAUGAAUUCAGUAUCUCCUGAUAGAUACUGGGUGUAGAAUGGGAAAGAACGAUCCUUUAGCAUGUUGACACUAUUCUGCUGCCCCUUCUUGGAUCUGAAGGUCAAUACUAUCAGACUUGCUGUAUUAGGAUAGGGAGAUGGAUUGGUGGAAGAUGGGACACAAACUAGAACAAGUCAAUAAAUGAAUAUUUGAAGACUUGGACUACUUGUCAUCACCUCAUCCCUCCCCCCAUCCCAACUGGUCUAAAAAUCCAUCUGGUCAGAUUUUUAUAAAAAUGGAUGACUUAUGCAUAAAGCAACUCCUCUUGUUCCCUAGCCUACCAGAAAAGGCUCUCCCUCCAUCUUUUUAUUCCUUACAUUGCAUUUGUUGGAAGAAGCAGGUUGUCAGAGCCACGAAUUUCCCACGGUCUGAAUUUUGCAUAUUGCAUCCCUAUGUUGUAACAGAAUGUUUUCCUCAACCUGGUUAUUUCCUGUGAAUUGGUAGUGGAGUCUAGAGGCUUGGUCAGAUUCAGGUUUGACCUUUAUAGUGAGAAUAACUCAUAGAUGGUGUCUGCUUCUCCACUGGGACUCACAUAAUGUCUGGUUGUCUCGCCCUUUGUGAUGUUAGUAACAGCUGGUACGCUGUGUCCGGAUCUGUUAGGGUUACAAAAUGCUGACUGUCCAACUCUAUCCUAUUUCAUUAUGACGUAAACUACAUCUCUAAAGAAAAACUUACUCACUUCCGCUAUUUGGAUAGCCGAUGGUACAAUUCAUUUAUAUAGGACAAGAAAAAUACUUGAUUCUUUCCAGUUAUUUAUCAGUUUGCAAAAUAAUGAAUUGGUUCCUUCAGCGUCUUUCAAUGGUGACUUGUUUUCUAGUAUCACUGUGAAUUCAUGGAUUAAAUUAUUUGCUGUGUUUCAGUCCACUGUAAUUAUGAUUCUUAUAGAUACUUAAAUUGUCCCACAUUUGAUCAGUUGAAACUUUGUUAUUGCUGUUUUUUGUGUUUGCUGGUGUGAUGGGUGUCAAGCAAUUUUGUUACUUUCGUUUUUAUUUCCCUGAUUUCUAGUGAGUUUGACCGUGUUCAUAUGUUUUUUGGGCCUUCUGGCUUUCCUCACUAGUGAAUUGUUUAUUUGUAUCCUUUGUACAAUUUUCUAUUCACUUGUUGGUUUUGUCCAAUCUCUCUCUCUCUCUCUCUCUUUUUUUUUUUUUUUGUCUUUCUCUCUUUUUAGGGCCACAUCCACGGCAUAUGGAGGUUCCCAGGCUAGGGGUCGAAUCAGAGCUGUAGCCACCGGCCUACACCAUGGCCACAGCAAUGCCAGAUGCGAGCCGCAUCUUCGACCUACACCACAGCUCAUGGCGACGCUGGAUCCUUAACCCACUGAGCGAGGCUAGGGAUCGGACCCACAACCUCAUAGUUCCUAAUUGGAUUUGUUUCUGCUGUGCCACGAUGGGGACUCCUUGUCUAAUUAGUUUUUAAGAGUGCUUUGUGUAGAAAGUAAUUCUUUGUGAGAAUAUAGCAGCAUAAACAUUUUCUCAGACAUUGUUUAACUUUGUCUGAGUACCUUUUGCCAUACCAAAAAAAGGUAUUUAUAUAUGGUCAAAUAUGCCUGCCUUUUAUUUUAUAGUUUCUUUGUUCUUUUAAGGAAAACUUUCCCAAACCAUGGAUUAUGCAUAAAAUCUCCUAGGCAGUUUUCUUGAAGUUUUAAAUUAUUUUUCUCUUACAUAUUGAAAUUUUGAUCCAUUUGCAAUUUACUUCUGAAUUUAGUGUAAGAUAGUAGUCUACUUUUAUUUUCUUUUAGAUGGGUAGCCAGUUACACCUGUACUUAAAAAAAAAGUUUAUCUUUUUCCUAACUGAACUAUCAGUUUGGCAUCCAGAUAUUUCCAAUAUUAUCAAUUAUUUAUUCCACAAAUAAUUUUCAUACACCAUUACAAUGUCAUGUUGAUUUGAAUAAACUUUGUAGUAUGACUGAUUUUUUUUUUAUUGUUUUUCUAGGGCUGCACCCAUGGCAUAUGGAGAUUCCUAGGCUAGGGUCUAAUCAGAGCUGUAGCCACCGGCCUACACCACAGCCAUAACAAUGCCAGAUCUGAACUGCAUCUGUGACCUACGCCACAGCUCACGGCAACGCUGGAUCCUUAAUCCACUGAGCGAGUCCAGGGAUUGAACCCACAACCUCAUGGUUCCUAGUCAGAUUUGUUUCCGCCGCACCACAGUGGGAACUCUCUAUGACCGAUAUCUUUUUUUUUUUUUUUUUUUUUUUUUUUGGUCUUUUGUCCUUUUGGGGCCACAUUCGCGGCAUAUAGAGGUUCCUAAGCUAAGGGUGAAUCGGAGCUAUUGCUGCCAGCCUAUGCCACAGCCAUAGCCACAGCAACACCACAUUGAAGCCGCAUCUGCAGCCUACACCACAGCUCACAGCAAAACCUGAUCCUUAACCCACUGAGAGAGGCCAGGGAUUGAACCCUCAACCUCAUGGUUCCCAGUCGGAUUUGUUUUCUCUGCGCCACGACAGGAAAUCCAAAGACUUAGUAAGCUUCCCCAUAUACACACUUUCUCUUUUCUUACAUAUUUACAGUUGUAUUAGCUAUUCUUUGGCAUUCUUUUUCUAUUGAAUUUUAAGAUCAUUUUAUUUAAUUCCAAGAAAAAUCUUGUUGGAAUUUUAGUUGGAACUGUAUUGAAUUUAUAUAUUAAAAUUUCC